UAACUUGAUGGCGACCGGCGCACGGGUGAGUAACGCGUAUGCAACCUGCCCGAUACCGGGGUAUAGCCCAUGGAAACGUGGAUUAACACCCCAUAGUACUUUUAUCCUGCCUGGGAUGGGAGUUAAAUGUUCAAGGUAUCGGGUGGGCAUGCGUCCUAUUAGUUAGUUGGCGGGGUAACAGCCCACCAAGACGAUGAUAGGUAGGGGUUCUGAGAGGAAGGUCCCCCACAUUGGAACUGAGACACGGUCCAA
rnacentral:rRNA from 1 species